UUUUAGCCCAGAUAGUAGCGAAAAGCUUUUUGAAAUUUGUUUUUUAGUUUUUUUAUUCUUGUAAAGCGACCGGAGGAAGCUCUUGCAAGAAUUUUAAAAAACAGAAACAAAUGAAAAAACUUGCAGCGUAUAGCUGGAAUUUGC
rnacentral:sRNA from 1 species